rnacentral:rRNA from 1 species
UACGUAGGUGGCAAGCGUUGUCCGGAUUUACUGGGCGUAAAGAGCGCGCAGGCGGUCGGAUAAGUCGAAUGUGAAAGCCCCCGGCUCAACUGGGGAGGGUCAUUCGAUACUGUUCGACUCGAAGGCAGGGGAGGGAAGUGGAAUUCCCGGUGUAGUGGUGAAAUGCGUAGAUAUCGUUUGGAACGCCAAUGGUGAAAACAGACAGCUGGGAGUGUGCUGACGCUGAGACACGAAAGCCAGGGGAGCGAACGGG